GCUUGCGCGGUAACGCAUUCGAACUCGGUAACGUCGCUUAGAGACCGAGCUAGAGUUUUCUUCUCUAGUUAAGGAACGGACUCCCUGGAAUCGGUUCAUCCGGAGAUAGGGACGUUGUUUCCGUAAAGCACCGCGGUUUCUGUGGUGUCUCGUGCUCUCUGAACGGCCCUUGAAAAACCGAGGGAGGCUAUUAAUCUAUGCUGCAUCGUACCGAUAUCCGCAUCAGGUCCUCAAGGUGAACGGCCUCUAGUCGAUAGAAUAAUGUAGGUAAGGGAAGUCGGCAAAUUAGAUCCGUAACUUCGGGAAAAGGAUUGGCUCCAGUGAUCGGGUCGGUUGGCCUGUUCACUGAUACUUGUAUGGUUUCGUUCGUGGCUGGCUGAUGCUAACGCUGAUGUCGGACUAGUGAUGAGACAGUCUUGUGGUACGUUUAUAGGUGUGUGCUUUGCUUUCGAGCUUAGUAUCCUGACCGGCCAUUAAAACGGUCGAACUGGAACUGGUACGGACUCGGGGAAUCCGACUGUCUAAUUAAAACAGAGGAGACAGAUGGUCCUUGCGGACGUUUACUGUCUCUGAUUUCUGCCCAGUGCUCUGAAUGUUAAAUCGUAGUAAUUCGAGUAAGCGCGGGUAAACGGCGGGAGUAACUAUGACUCUCUUAAGGUAGCCAAAUGCCUCGUCAUCUAAUUAGUGACGCGCAUGAAUGGAUUAACGAGAUUCCCACUGUCCCUAACUACUAUCUAGCGAAACCACAGCCAAGGGAACGGGCUUGGUAAAAAUAGCGGGGAAAGAAGACCCUGUUGAGCUUGACUCUAGUUUGACAUUGUGAAGAGUCAUGAGAGGUGUAGCAUAGGUGGGAGACUUAUGUCGCCAAUGAAAUACCACCACUUUCAUCGAUUCUUUACUUAUUCGGUAAUGUGAGGAUUGGGCCAUCGGCUCUUUCUUCUUUGUGUUAAGUGAAGUCACCUGGUGACAUUACGACUCCCGUCGAAGACAAUGUCAGGCGGGGAGUUUGACUGGGGCGGUACAUCUGUCAAAUCGUAACGCAGGUGUCCUAAGGCUAGCUCAGAGAGGACGGAAACCUCUCGUAGAGCAAAAGGGCAAAAGCUCGCUUGAUCUUGACUUUCAGUACGAGUACAGACCGCGAAAGCGUGGCCUAUCGAUCCUUUUAAUCCAGAUAGUUUCUGGUAAGAGGUGUCAGAAAAGUUACCACAGGG
rfam:Heterorhabditis bacteriophora unplaced genomic scaffold Scaffold274, whole genome shotgun sequence.